rnacentral:lncRNA from 1 species
AGCAGGAAGGGCCGGCGGGAAGGGGGGGUGGAAAGAGCCACUCCUGGUUAAUAACUCUGCGGGGUUAACCUAGGGCCGGCCAUACUCAAGUACGGACUUGAGUAAAAUUCAGCAGGAAAAGGAGCAGGGUGGGCGCCGCUAGAGGGAGGCUUCAGGACUGAGGGUCAGAGGCCCAAGGCCUGGCAGGGCCCUUCCCUGGUCAGCUCCAGGCUUGGCCUGAUGCCCGGUGGGCCACGGGCCUCUUCCAGCCUCAGGCUGACCCCAGAGAAAGAGGACAGCCCACAAGCCCGGGAGGCCGGCUUGCUGCCUGGUCAUUGCUGCAGAGCCUGGAGGGGGCCUGCGCUCAGUCCCCGCUGACCGUCCCCUCCCUUGACCCUGCCAUAGCCAUCUGUGUAACCCAGGGGAAAUUAUUCCAAAGGGACUUCCACUUCUGAUAAUCUAUGAUUCUAUUUUCUAAAAAACAAAACUCUAAAAUGCUUAAUGUCAAACAUCUGUCAUCAGCUGAACAGGAAAAGGAACAGUAAGUACAAAGCAAGGCAACAUCAGAAAAGGGAGCCCUGAGGAAUUUCUCCCUCCUUCCCUGAGCCGGGUGAGGCCGUGACUGCAGCCUGACUCACAGGUUUUAUUUCACUUAUUAACCUAAAGAUGGUGAGGAUCUGCUGGUUCUCCCCCAGGCCUGGAGGCUGCCUACCAUCGGUGGCUCUCAUCGGUCCUUCCAAAGUGCCUACGGAAAGCUUUGUCCCAUCCUUGAAAAAUUGCUAAUGGGUUUGGAGAUACGAGGUGGAGAUGACUAGCAAUCAAACUCAAAGGUGGAAGUCACAUCGAGGCAGAUGAGCAGAUGAGGGGACCUAGAGAAGAAGAGAGGUGCAAGGAGAGCCCAGCCAGCAGGAACAUCUGCCCCAGUAGGCAGCACUGCCCCACAUCAGAGUCGAGGAAAGCAAAGCUCGGAUUGGAUAAAAGAAACUUGCAAACACGGUCAGUGCUUACUGCAUGUGGGCUCAGAGCACGUUACCCUCCUUCCCUGCAUGUUCCUGUGAAACGGGUUUACUGCUCUAACUCUCAGGGACACUGUGAAGACCAAACGAGAAAAUAGAAACAAACAUAAUUUAUAAACCAUAAAGUACUGACACCAAAAGAGGGGCGAGCACAGCAUUGUGAAUGUGCUGGUACUAAAUGGUUUGUUUUAAGAUGAUUUUAUGGUGUGUGAAUUUCACUUGAAUAAAUUUUUUUAAUGGAGUUCA